CGGGCUAACAAGUUAGUUGUGAAAUCCCUCGGCUCAACUGAGGAACUGCAACUAAAACUAUUAGUCUUGAGUGCGGGAGAGGAAAGUGGAAUUCCUAGUGUAGCGGUGAAAUGCGUAGAUAUUAGGAGGAACACCAGUGGCGAAGGCGACUUUCUGGACCGUAACUGACGUUGAGGCACGAAAGUGUGGGGAGCAAACAGGAUUAGAUACCCUGGUAGUCCACACUGUAAACGAUGGAUACUAGGUGUAGGGGGUAUUAAGCCUUCUGUGCCGUCGCAAACGCAGUAAGUAUCCCACCUGGGGAGUACGACCGCAAGGUUGAAACUCAAAGGAAUUGACGGGGGCCCGCACAAGCAGUGGAGUAUGUGGUUUAAUUCGAAGCAACGCGAAGAACCUUACCAGGGCUUGACAUAUACAGGAAUAUAUAAGAGAUUAUAUAGCUCUUCGGAGUCUGUAUACAGGUGGUGCAUGGUUGUCGUCAGCUCGUGUCGUGAGAUGUUGGGUUAAGUCCCGCAACGAGCGCAACCCCUGUUUCUAGUUGCCAGCGAGUAAUGUCGGGAACUCUAGAGAGACUGCCGGUGAUAAAUCGGAGGAAGGUGGGGACGACGUCAAAUCAUCAUGCCCUUUAUGUCCUGGGCUACACACGUACUACAAUGGCUAUAACAAAGAGAAGCGAAACAGUGAUGUGGAGCGAAACUCAAAAAAAUAGUCUCAGUUCGGAUUGAAGGCUGAAAUUCGCCUUCAUGAAGCCGGAAUUGCUAGUAAUGGCAGGUCAGCAUACUGCCGUGAAUACGUUCCCGGGCCUUGUACACACCGCCCGUCACACCAUGAGAGUUGGGAAUACCCGAAGCCUGUGAGCUAACUUUUAGAGGCAGCAGUCGAAGGUAGAAUCAAUGAUUGGGGUGAAGUCGUAACAAGGUAACCGUAA
rnacentral:rRNA from 1 species